rnacentral:rRNA from 1 species
UCCCGUUGAUCCUGCGGGAGAUUGCUGCUGUUGGGAUUCGACUAAGCCAUGCAAGUCUUCUAGCAAUAGAGGCAAAAGGCUCAGUAACACGUCAGUAAUCUGCCCUAUGGUCAGGAAUAACUUCGCGAAAGUGAAGGUAAAACCUGAUAGGGAACAAGCCCUGGAACGGGCUUUUCCUCAAACUCGUGCCAUAGGAUGAGCUGGCGGCGGAUUAGGUUGUUGGCGGUGUAACGGACCACCAAGCCGAAGAUCCGUACGGGCCAUGAGAGUGGUAGCCCGGAGAGGGACACUGAGAUACUGGUCCCAGCCCCACGGGGUGCAGCAGGCGCGAAACCUUUACAAUGCACGCAAGUGUGAUAGGGGGAUCCCAAGUGCUUAACAUUGUUAGGCUUUUGCCAAGUUUAAACUGCUUGGCGAAUAAGGGGUGGGUAAGACUGGUGCCAGCCGCCGCGGUAACACCAGCGCCCCGAGUGGCAAUCGCGAUUAUUGGGCCUAAAGCGUCCGUAGCAGGUUUUGUAAAUCUUUUGUGAAAUCGGCAGGCUUAACCUGUCGGCGUGCAGAAGACACUGCAAGACUCGAGACCGGGAGAAGUCAGAAGUAUUCCUUGGGUACCGGUAAAAUGGGUUAAUCCAAGGAGGACUACCAAUGGCGAAGGCAUCUGACUAGAACGGAUCUGACUGUGAGGGACGAAAGCCAGGGGAGCAAAACGGAUUAGAUACCCGAGUAGUCCUGGCCGUAAACGCUGCGAGCAAGGUAUUGCGCAUCCCACGAGGAUGUGCAGUGUCGAAGAGAAGUCGUUAAGCUCGCCGCCAGGGAAGUACGGUCGCAAGGCUGAAACUUUAAGGAAUUGGCGGGGAGACACCACAAGGGGUGCGGCGUGCGGUUCAAUCUAACUCAACGCAGAGAACCUCACUAGGCCCGACGGCAGAAUGAAGGUCAUGCUGAAGACAUUACCUGACAAGCCGAGAGGUAGUGCAUGGCCAUCGCCAGCUCGUGCUGUGAAGUGUCCAGUUAAGUCUGGCAACGAGCGAGACCUGCACCCUCUAUUGCUAACAACAUCUCCGGAUGGAUUGAGCACUUUGAGGGGACCGCCUCGGAAACGGGGAGGAAGGUGCAGGCUACGGUAGGUCUGUAUGCUCCGAAUGGUCUAGGCUACACGCGCGCAACAAUGGUAUGGACAAUGGGAUGCCACUCCGAAAGGAGGAGCUAAACCUCUAAACCAUAUCUUAGUUCAGAUCGAGGCUUGAAACUCAGCCUCGUGACGCUGGAAUCCCUAGUAAUCGGGUAUCAUCAUUGCCCGGUGAAUAUGUCCCUGUCUCUUGCACACACCGCCCGUCAAACCAACCGAGCAGGGUUUAGGUGAACCUCGACUUUUUUGGUCGUGCUGAACCUGAGCUCAGUGAGGUGGGUUAAGUCGUCACAAGGUC